CCUACGGGGGGCAGCAGUGGGGAAUAUUGGACAAUGGGCGAAAGCCUGAUCCAGCCAUGCCGCGUGUGUGAAGAAGGCCUUCGGGUUGUAAAGCACUUUCAGUGGGGAAGAAAGCCUUGGGGCUAAUACCCUCGAGGAAGGACAUCACCCACAGAAGAAGCACCGGCUAACUCCGUGCCAGCAGCCGCGGUAAUACGGAGGGUGCGAGCGUUAAUCGGAAUGACUGGGCGUAAAGCGCGCGUAGGCGGUCUGAUAAGCCGGUUGUGAAAGCCCCGGGCUCAACCUGGGAACGGCAUCCGGAACUGUCAGGCUAGAGUGCAGGAGAGGAAGGUAGAAUUCCCGGUGUAGCGGUGAAAUGCGUAGAGAUCGGGAGGAAUACCAGUGGCGAAGGCGGCCUUCUGGACUGACACUGACGCUGAGGUGCGAAAGCGUGGGUAGCAAACAGGAUUAGAUACCCGUGUAGUC
rnacentral:rRNA from 1 species